GAACGGGAGCGGCAACCGGGCCCGGAAAGGGGCAGCUGCCGCUCAGGGACGCCGCGAUCCCACGGAGGGUCAAGCUGCGGAAGCCUUCCCUCUCUAAUGAGCCCAUAAAUAUUAACGCCUUCUCAGUGACGAGUGAUUGAGAAUUCACAGGAUCUAAAUCUAAUUAUUGCGAGCUGAGUAACAUACCAAGGAGAAAACAAGAUGCCAAGACCCCAUUGAACGCUUGGUCUCGGCCUUUUCUAAGUGUAGUUUGAAUACGAAGUAUUUUUUUUCCUUAUUACAAACUUUUCUGCACCUAAUUACCUCAUUAUACCACAAAGUACUAUAUUUCUGGAAGAUAUUAAUCUUUUCCCUCACACUAGCAAUGAAACUCAGCUACAGAACAAACGGCCAGGUUACAUACUGGAAUCUUCGUGGAUCACUCAGACCUAUCUUCAUGGUUCUGGGAUUUGACUAUAGGCUUGUUUCCUCUGGUAAGCUCAACUUAAUUAUUUUUGAGAACAAAGCGGCUCUGGCAAAAUAUGGUGCCUCACACCACAGAGUGAAAGACAAGCAAGUAAAGUCGUCUACACCUUAAAGAGAAGCAUUUUGAAAAAUAAAAUCAUACCUUUUGU